UACGGAGGGUGCAAGCGUUAUCCGGAUUUACUGGGUUUAAAGGGUGCGUAGGUGGGUCUGUAAGUCAGUGGUGAAAUCUUCGAGCUUAACUCGGAAACUGCCAUUGAUACUAUAGGUCUUGAAUAUCCUGGAGGUGAGCGGAAUAUGUCAUGUAGCGGUGAAAUGCUUAGAUAUGACAGAGAACACCGAUUGCGAAGGCAGCUCACUACGGGAUUAUUGACACUGAGGCACGAAAGCGUGGGGAUCAAACAGG
rnacentral:rRNA from 1 species